rnacentral:misc_RNA from 1 species
AGAGCGAGAAGAACGGUGCCGAGAACCAGAUCUUCCGGACCUUGGAUGACUAUUGCUUGAAAUUACCAAGGGAACAGCAGAAGGAUUUUCCAGUUCACCAUAAGUUGAUGGAUUGAUGGUAGCACCACCAAGAUCUGAACGAGUUGUUUGUUGAACAGCUUGGCUUCGACCAAUCAACCAUCCUUGCAAAAAAGGCAAUUCCCAGUAUGCCGGGUCACUAAAAGGGAAAAACUGAUUGUUUCUCUCUUCUGGCUGCCCAUCAGUCUCCAUGGGAUCAACUAAAAGUUGAGUACCAGUUUCGUUUUCCCUGACAGAAGAACUAGUAUGAGCUUCUUGUGUAGG